rnacentral:rRNA from 1 species
GAUGAACGCUGGCGGCGUGCCUAAUACAUGCAAGUCGAGCGAACGGACGAGAAGCUUGCUUCUCUGAUGUUAGCGGCGGACGGGUGAGUAACACGUGGAUAACCUACCUAUAAGACUGGGAUAACUUCGGGAAACCGGAGCUAAUACCGGAUAAUAUUUUGAACCGCAUGGUUCAAAAGUGAAAGACGGUCUUGCUGUCACUUAUAGAUGGAUCCGCGCUGCAUUAGCUAGUUGGUAAGGUAACGGCUUACCAAGGCAACGAUGCAUAGCCGACCUGAGAGGGUGAUCGGCCACACUGGAACUGAGACACGGUCCAGACUCCUACGGGAGGCAGCAGUAGGGAAUCUUCCGCAAUGGGCGAAAGCCUGACGGAGCAACGCCGCGUGAGUGAUGAAGGUCUUCGGAUCGUAAAACUCUGUUAUUAGGGAAGAACAUAUGUGUAAGUAACUGUGCACAUCUUGACGGUACCUAAUCAGAAAGCCACGGCUAACUACGUGCCAGCAGCCGCGGUAAUACGUAGGUGGCAAGCGUUAUCCGGAAUUAUUGGGCGUAAAGCGCGCGUAGGCGGUUUUUUAAGUCUGAUGUGAAAGCCCACGGCUCAACCGUGGAGGGUCAUUGGAAACUGGAAAACUUGAGUGCAGAAGAGGAAAGUGGAAUUCCAUGUGUAGCGGUGAAAUGCGCAGAGAUAUGGAGGAACACCAGUGGCGAAGGCGACUUUCUGGUCUGUAACUGACGCUGAUGUGCGAAAGCGUGGGGAUCAAACAGGAUUAGAUACCCUGGUAGUCCACGCCGUAAACGAUGAGUGCUAAGUGUUAGGGGGUUUCCGCCCCUUAGUGCUGCAGCUAACGCAUUAAGCACUCCGCCUGGGGAGUACGACCGCAAGGUUGAAACUCAAAGGAAUUGACGGGGACCCGCACAAGCGGUGGAGCAUGUGGUUUAAUUCGAAGCAACGCGAAGAACCUUACCAAAUCUUGACAUCCUUUGACAACUCUAGAGAUAGAGCUUUCCCCUUCGGGGGACAAAGUGACAGGUGGUGCAUGGUUGUCGUCAGCUCGUGUCGUGAGAUGUUGGGUUAAGUCCCGCAACGAGCGCAACCCUUAAGCUUAGUUGCCAUCAUUAAGUUGGGCACUCUAAGUUGACUGCCGGUGACAAACCGGAGGAAGGUGGGGAUGACGUCAAAUCAUCAUGCCCCUUAUGAUUUGGGCUACGCACGUGCUACAAUGGACAAUACAAAGGGCAGCGAAACCGCGAGGUCAAGCAAAUCCCAUAAAGUUGUUCUCAGUUCGGAUUGUAGUCUGCAACUCGACUACAUGAAGCUGGAAUCGCUAGUAAUCGUAGAUCAGCAUGCCACGGUGAAUACGUUCCCGGGUCU